AACGAACGCUGGCGGCAGGCCUAACACAUGCAAGUCGAGCGAGGACUUCGGUUCUAGCGGCGGACGGGUGAGUAACGCGUGGGAAUGUGCCCUUCUCUACGGAAUAGCCCUGGGAAACUGGGAGUAAUACCGUAUACGCCCUUUUGGGGAAAGAUUUAUCGGAGAGGGAUCAGCCCGCGUUGGAUUAGGUAGUUGGUGGGGUAAUGGCCUACCAAGCCGACGAUCCAUAGCUGGUUUGAGAGGAUGAUCAGCCACACUGGGACUGAGACACGGCCCAGACUCCUACGGGAGGCAGCAGUGGGGAAUCUUAGACAAUGGGGGCAACCCUGAUCUAGCCAUGCCGCGUGAGUGAUGAAGGCCUUAGGGUUGUAAAGCUCUUUCAGCUGGGAAGAUAAUGACGGUACCAGCAGAAGAAGCCCCGGCUAACUCCGUG
rnacentral:rRNA from 1 species